rnacentral:rRNA from 1 species
CGAACGGCAGCACAGUGGUAGCAAUACCAUGGGUGGCGAGUGGCGGACGGGUGAGGAAUACAUCGGAAUCUACCUUUUCGUGGGGGAUAACGUAGGGAAACUUACGCUAAUACCGCAUACGACCUUAGGGUGAAAGCGGAGGACCUUCGGGCUUCGCGCGGAUAGAUGAGCCGAUGUCGGAUUAGCUAGUUGGCGGGGUAAAGGCCCACCAAGGCGACGAUCCGUAGCUGGUCUGAGAGGAUGAUCAGCCACACUGGAACUGAGACACGGUCCAGACUCCUACGGGAGGCAGCAGUGGGGAAUAUUGGACAAUGGGCGCAAGCCUGAUCCAGCCAUGCCGCGUGGGUGAAGAAGGCCUUCGGGUUGUAAAGCCCUUUUGUUGGGAAAGAAAAGCAGUCGGUUAAUACCCGAUUGUUCUGACGGUACCCAAAGAAUAAGCACCGGCUAACUUCGUGCCAGCAGCCGCGGUAAUACGAAGGGUGCAAGCGUUACUCGGAAUUACUGGGCGUAAAGCGUGCGUAGGUGGUUGUUUAAGUCCGUUGUGAAAGCCCUGGGCUCAACCUGGGAAUUGCAGUGGAUACUGGGCAACUAGAGUGUGGUAGAGGAUGGCGGAAUUCCCGGUGUAGCAGUGAAAUGCGUAUAGAUCGGGAGGAACAUCUGUGGCGAAGGCGGCCAUCUGGACCAACACUGACACUGAGGCACGAAAGC